AAUUAACCGGUUGCGUGUAAUCUUGUCGUUAUACUAAUUCUGUUGGACAGAUACAUUUUCUUGUAUGAGACUAUAACAAGAUCAAAGUUUGAGGUGCUGUCGUCUGAGGAGCCAAUACAUGAGCGAAUAUCACGAAAUGUUGCAUCUGCACUGGCAUCUUUGAAGUAGACUGGGAAUGUUGGGACUUUUUCAAUUCUGUAUUCUAUAGACCCCUUUCUGAGGAUAUAUUUAAAACUUACAAGCAGCAAAAAUUCUACCAAGAAGUGUUUUUUUAAAUAAAAAAAUUAUAUAAAUAAAGCUUAAAACCAAAAGACAGAUGAACAUUUAACUCAUAGAAAUCAUGUUUGGUCUUUGCCAAUUGCGCCAUGUAUUUAACUUGUAUACUUAUCAACCAAACCGAUGUCUUUGGCACACAUUGUUACUGAAUGAUGAAUGAUGAAUAUUUCAUUAACUUAUGUCACAUUGCUCUGGAUC